CUACGGGUGGCAGCAGUGAGGAAUAUUGCACAAUGGGGGGAACCCUGAUGCAGCAACGCCGCGUGGAGGAUGACGCAUUUCGGUGUGUAAACUCCUUUUAUAUGUCAAGAAAAUGACGGUAGCAUAUGAAUAAGCACCGGCUAACUCCGUGCCAGCAGCUGCGGUAAUACGGAGGGUGCAAGCGUUACUCGGAAUCACUGGGCGUAAAGGACGCGUAGGCGGGUUGGAAAGUCAGGUGUGAAAUCCUACAGCUUAACUGUAGAACUGCACUUGAAACUUCUAAUCUAGAGUAUGGGAGGGGGAGAUGGAAUUAGUAGUGUAGGGGUAAUAUCCGUAGAUAUCACUAGGAAUACCUAAAGCGAAGGCGAUCUCCUGGAACAUUACUGACGCUAAGGCGUGAAAGCGUGGGGAGCAAACAGGAUUAGAUACCCCUGUAGUC
rnacentral:rRNA from 1 species